GAGGGGGGCUGGUGAGAUCAACACAAUGGGGGCUGGUGAGAUCAACACAAUGGGGACUGGUGAGAUCAACACAAUGGCGGCUGGUGAGAUCAACACAAUGGGGGCUGGUGAGAUCAACAUAAUGGGGGCUGGUGAGAUCAACACAAUGGGGACUGGUGAGAUCAACACAAUGGGGGCUGGUGAGAUCAACACAAUGGGGACUGGAGAGAUCAACACAAUGGGGACUGGUGAGAUCAACACAAUGGGGACUGGAGAGAUCAACACAAUGGGGACUAGUGAGAUCAACAAAAUGGGGACUGAAGAGAUCAACACAAUGGGGACUGGAGUGAUCAACACAAUGGGGACAGGUGAGAUCAACACAAUGAGGACUGGAGAGAUCAACACAAUGGGGACUGGAGAGAUCAACACAAUGGGGACUGGAGAGAUCAACACAAUGGGGACUGGAGUGAUCAACACAAUGGGGACAGGUGAGAUCAACACAAUGGGGACUGGAGAGAUCAACACAAUGGGGACUGGAGAGAUCAACACAAUGGGGACUGGAGAGAUCAACACAAUGGGGACUGGAGAGAUCAACACAAUGGGGACUGAAGAGAUCAACACAAUGGGGACUGGAGAGAUCAACACAAUGGGGACUGGAGAGAUCAACACAAUGGGGACUGGAGAGAUCAACACAAUGGGGGCUGGUGAGAUUGCUGGUAAAUUUCUUCAACAAAUGAUCAGGUCUAUGACAUUAUUAACCAUACAUUAGUAAUGGGAAGGAAACACUCUUUGUUUACGUAUUAAAAUACUCCUUUAGUAAUACAAUGGUAGGCAGAAGUUGGUACAGAGUACAGUAUAACAGUAUAUGAUAGCUCUCCCCAGGUUCUGCAAAAUGUCUAAGGCAUCCUGUAACUCAUAUAGCCUCCCCAAUCCCUCUUGCGUGACUUUCCCUGGCAACAACAUUUUAAUAGAUCUAACCUCCCCUGACAGCAGCAACCAUCUUAUCAGCAAUUAAAAGCUCAGAAGUGGGUUUGACAGAAGCUUGACCUUUCAUCAGUAUAGAGUCAUAACAAGGUGAACGAGUCUAAGCAUCUUCUGACAGGUGGCUGGUUUCAUCAGGUCUGUGGCAGCCUUGUGUUCUCAGAGAACCAGACAACCACGGUGGGAUCCAGACAGGAGGAGUCUGAAUGUAGACGCCUUCUGAUAGUGCCUGAAGGGCAAAACACUCAAAAACAGGUUUUAACACACACACACAGAGGUUUUAUAAGAAACAUCCAUAAAAGGUGCGUUAGAUUUCAAACAAUCCUCAGGAGAUUGAGGAUAGAAAUAAGGGCCUGGGGGGGGAGGAACAUGAAGCCAGGGGGAUGAGGAACAUGAAGCCAGGGGGAUGAGGAACAUGAAGCCAGGGGGAUGAGGAACAUGAAGCCAGGGG
ensembl:lncRNA